rnacentral:rRNA from 1 species
GAUGAACGCUGGCGGCGUGCCUAAGACAUGCAAGUCGAGUGGGUUUAGGCCCACGGCGAACGGGUGAGUAAUACCUAGGAACAUCCCUUGAGUUGAGCAUAACCUACCGAAAGGUAGGAUAAUUCUCAAUGUGGCAGCAAUGCUAAAGUCGCAAGACGCUCAGGAAAUGGCCUGGGCACCAUCAGCUAGUUGGUAAGGUAAAGGCUUACCAAGGCUAUGACGGUUAGGGGCCCCGAGAGGGGAAACCCCCA